CGGACGGGUGAGUAACGCGUGGGUAACCUGCCUCACACUGGGGGACAACAGUUAGAAAUGACUGCUAAUACCGCAUAAGCGCACAGGACCGCAUGGUCUGGUGUGAAAAACUCCGGUGGUGUGAGAUGGACCCGCGUUUGAUUAGCUAGUUGGUGGGGUAACGGCCUACCAAGGCGACGAUCAAUAGCCGACCUGAGAGGGUGACCGGCCACAUUGGGACUGAGACACGGCCCAA
rnacentral:rRNA from 1 species